ACCAAAUUAUAGCGGAGGAGGACGAGAAGAUGUGCCCACCGUCGAGCUCACAGUGAAGGUGGAUGAUGAGCUCACGGUCGCGCGAUUUGUUCCUCCGCGCACCCACCUCACCAAGAUCUAAACAAGGUCUAGGCUGGAACGGGUUGAAGAACCCAAGAGGUGGUCGCUGGAAUUGGGCGGUGCACGGCGCGGGGCUUCUCGUACUGGUCCACGGGCCACAGGACGCAAUUGGGGUCGAUGCAUGCAUGGGCUGGGCAUGGGCCCCCACAUAUAACUGGCCUUUCACCUGGGCUGUGGGCUCCGUUUCACCGACCCCACCCUGUGGCGUGGGUCCCUUGCAUCCUGACGGAAUCCCAAUCAAUCAAUCAACCCACCGGCCACCGCCCAGACCUCACCUGUUGCUGCCGUCCGGCGCAGUCCGGCUGUUUUUUUUUUUUCUUUUCUUCUUUCCUGCAUCUCGACACCCUGUGUGACCUUGUAAUUUGCAAUAUGAAUGUACAAGUACUUCCGCAGUUUAAAAACCAUUAUUAUUUGAGCAGACAA